rnacentral:rRNA from 1 species
AUACGGAAGGUGCAAGCGUUGUUCGGAAUUAUUGGGCGUAAAGCGCGUGUAGGCGGUUUUUUAAGUCUGAUGUGAAAGCCCCGGGCUCAACCCGGGAAGUGCAUUGGAAACUGGGAGACUUGAAUACGGGAGAGGGUAGUGGAAUUCCUAGUGUAGGAGUGAAAUCCGCAGAUAUUAGGAGGAACACCGGUGGCGAAGGCGGCUACCUGGACCGAUAUUGACGCUGAGACGCGAAAGCGUGGGGAGC